ACAAGUUUAAUUUUUUAUACUUUGACAAUAGGCACAGAAUUGAAGAUUAAUGAGUUAAGUUGGAUGAGUCCAGAAAAUUGAGUGGAGCUACAGUCUAUAAUAGACUUAACGGCAAGAGACCUAAUAAUUGACCUAAUGUCCAGGUCGAUUGAGUCAGAUCGAAGCUCAUAAGUGUUGUGACUGAGCCCUUCUUAUCGACACGUACUUUUGGGAUAGUUGAUUAGCG
rnacentral:lncRNA from 1 species